GCCCUCGUAGUGUAAUCUGGAUAACAUAGUUCCCUGCGGAGGAGCCGAUCUGGGUUCAAAUCCCAGCGAGGGCA
rnacentral:tRNA from 1 species